rnacentral:rRNA from 1 species
UACAGAGACUGCGAGCGUUAUUCGGAUUCACUGGGCGUAAAGGGUGCGCAGGUGGCCAGGUGUGUGAGGCGUGAAAGCCCGGGGCUUAACCCCGGAAUUGCACCUCAAACUACUUGGCUAGAGCAUUGGAGAGGGGAGCAGAAUUCAUGGUGUAGCAGUGAAAUGCGUAGAUAUCAUGAGGAAUACCAGAGGCGAAGGCGGCUCCCUGGACCAACACUGACACUGAGGAGCGAAAGCCAGGGGAGCAAACGGG